rnacentral:rRNA from 1 species
UACGAAGGGGGCUAGCGUUGCUCGGAAUCACUGGGCGUAAAGGGUGCGUAGGCGGGUCUUUAAGUCAGGGGUGAAAUCCUGGAGCUCAACUCCAGAACUGCCUUUGAUACUGGAUGGCUUGAGUUUGGGAGAGGGAUGCGGAAUUCCAGGUGUAGCGGUGAAAUGCGUAGAUAUCUGGAGGAACACCGGUGGCGAAGGCGGCAUCCUGGACCAACACUGACACUGAUGAGCGAAAGCCAGGGGAGCAAACAGG